UACGUAGGGACCAAGCGUUGUUCGGAUUUACUGGGCGUAAAGGGCGCGUAGGCGGCGCGGUAAGUCACUUGUGAAAUCUCUGAGCUUAACUCAGAACGGCCAAGUGAUACUGCAGUGCUAGAGUGUGGAAGGGGCAAUCGGAAUUCUUGGUGUAGCGGUGAAAUGCGUAGAUAUCAAGAGGAACACCUGAGGUGAAGACGGGUUGCUGGGCCAACACUGACGCUGAGGCGCGAAAGCUAGGGGAGCGAACGGG
rnacentral:rRNA from 1 species